rnacentral:rRNA from 1 species
AGCGAACAGACGAGGAGCUUGCUCCUCUGACGUUAGCGGCGGACGGGUGAGUAACACGUGGAUAACCUACCUAUAAGACUGGGAUAACUUCGGGAAACCGGAGCUAAUACCGGAUAAUAUAUUGAACCGCAUGGUUCAAUAGUGAAAGACGGUUUUGCUGUCACUUAUAGAUGGAUCCGCGCCGCAUUAGCUAGUUGGUAAGGUAACGGCUUACCAAGGCAACGAUGCGUAGCCGACCUGAGAGGGUGAUCGGCCACACUGGAACUGAGACACGGUCCAGACUCCUACGGGAGGCAGCAGUAGGGAAUCUUCCGCAAUGGGCGAAACCCUGAUCCAGCGACGCCGCGUGAGUGAAGAAGUAUUUCGGUAUGUAAAGCUCUAUCAGCAGGGAAGAAAAUGACGGUACCUGACUAAGAAGCCCCGGCUAAC